CAUGAAAUGCACAACAUGUGCCCUGUUGUAUAACAUAGUCUAAUAUUGCAUGGUCUAUAGUAAGAACCUUUGGGCUGGGCCAGGAAUGUGCUACAAGAAAUAUUAAAUGAAAAUAUGUAGCUACUUUCCUACAUCAGCAUAAUAUGGACGUUUGCAAAGGUCUAAUGUACAUGUUGAUUUGUAUUGCAGAUAUUUCUGUCUUAUCAACAAUACCUUAUUAAACAUCAUACUAUAAUGGUAUUUUGCUUUGCCAGUAGAGUAGAAUAUUUAAAUACACAUGCUCAUCAUACUGUAUUUCUGACAGGUUCCCAUAUUAACUACAACUUGUAAGUUGUGGUAGCAAAACACACACACACACACACAAAAAGGUUUUAAACUACAGGCUUUGGAGAAAUGAUACGAAACUGAAAAAAUUAUAAGGGUAGAUCAAGUUAUCACAUACUGCAUAAAUAAUGUAAAUUUUGAGUGCAAUAAGUUAUAGCAGCUUCACAAUUAGAAUAGUAGGACUAGUGUAUUAGAGAAUCUCUUCAUUCUGUCCAGCUGUCUCUCAAAAGUAAGGCUGAAAGUGGCCUCCAGCUUCUAGACUUUAAUCCACAGUCAUUCUGCUGGCCUGCCCUUGUUUCAGCUUUGCCAAAGACAUAUGCUUGAGUUUUUGAAGUGAUUAGAUUUGUCUGGGCUAGAGCCUCAAGGGGAGAACGUGAGGUUUCUGUGUAUAUUUCUUUUUACACUUCUCUACUGUUGUUUUAACCAUGUUUCUGUGUUGUUUAAAGGGAUAGUACCAGGAUAAAAAACUCCCUUGCAGAAUUCUUGCUGGGCCUUUUAUGAAUGAUUUGGCAAGAAGAGAGGCCAGCUGCUACCCCCCAACUCUGCAGAACUGGCACACUGCAGCUCCUUUGUGCGGCUGCUGCAAAUCUACAUAGCUCUGCUGAAGACGGUGGAGCCACGCUAAUUUACACCAGGUGAGGAUAUGGCCCAUCAUGCCCAAGAGGCUCGCUGUAGAGGGGUGAUCUCACCUAAGAUGAGGCUACAGGAAGGGACUGGUAACUAUCGCAGGAGGUGGAUGCCUUCUCUGUAUGAUUUACAAGUUUGGCCUCAAAUAGGAAACUGGUUGGUUCUUAAAACUGCUGUGCUAAGAACUCUUCCCAGGCAGUAAUUUUCCUUUUAACUGUUAAGGAAGUGAGCAGCUUCACACUGAAACAUGAAGCCAUUCUCCUCUCUCCUGCAGUCCCACCCCGUAAGCUCAGGAGAGGUCCCAUCCUGCCCCCACUGCUGCCAGCGCUAAACUCCCCAUGGCUUCAAUGGCGUAAGAUUGAGCCCAUUGUUUAGGGCACUACUUGGUCAGUUCAGACAGAGCUUAACACAGACCGUCCCCUGACCUCCUCCUAACUCCAGCUGUCACAAUGCCUACAGGGCUCAGGAAGCUGGUGGGCUGGGAUGGCUGCUUAUCAUGCUGACCAGCAGUGUCUGUUUCCCUGUGCUCCCCUGUCUGUUUUUCGUAUUCACUUGUGGUCUCUCAUCUUCCACUUUGACUGUAAACUCUUUGGGGCAGGGACUGUCUUUCUGUUCUGUGUCUGUUCAACAUCUAGAGCAGUGGGGUCCUGAUCCAGGAGAGUGGGCCCCUGUGCACAUUGUGCUCGAGUGUAAUUUUCCUUGCUUGUUGUCAGCUUUGGGGGUUUAGGUUUGUAAAAGGAAUCCAGUUCACGCAGAAAUAAAACAUUUCAGUUCACACACAUGCAGCUUGUUCCCCUCCACAUUAAUUGCUGGGCAAAAACCAUAUUCAUGAGUAAUUCUGUUUCCCUGUAGCUCAGACUCCUUACAGAGUGGAGUGUUUGACUUGCUUGUUGUGGAUUUGUUCGGUUGAAAGAACAAACAUCCAGCAAAACCGUGAAAGUUGUUCAGUUUGAAUUGCUUUCCCCCCCUCAACCCCCAGACAUCACAUGCUAUCUAUUGAGAUAGAUUAUUUUU